rnacentral:rRNA from 1 species
GGCGACGACGGGUAGCCGGCCUGAGAGGGCGACCGGCCACACUGGGACUGAGACACGGCCCAGACUCCUACGGGAGGCAGCAGUGGGGAAUAUUGCACAAUGGGCGAAAGCCUGAUGCAGCGACGCCGCGUGAGGGAUGACGGCCUUCGGGUUGUAAACCUCUUUCAGCAGGGAAGAAGCGAAAGUGACGGUACCUGCAGAAGAAGCGCCGGCUAACUACGUGCCAGCAGCCGCGGUAAUACGUAGGGCGCGAGCGUUGUCCGGAAUUAUUGGGCGUAAAGAGCUCGUAGGCGGCUUGUCGCGUCGGAUGUGAAAGCCCGGGGCUUAACCCCGGGUCUGCAUUCGAUACGGGCAGGCUAGAGUUCGGUAGGGGAGAUCGGAAUUCCUGGUGUAGCGGUGAAAUGCGCAGAUAUCAGGAGGAACACCGGUGGCGAAGGCGGAUCUCUGGGCCGAUACUGACGCUGAGGAGCGAAAGCGUGGGGAGCGAACAGGAUUAGAUACCCUGGUAGUCCACGCCGUAAACGUUGGGAACUAGGUGUGGGCGACAUUCCACGUUGUCCGUGCCGCAGCUAACGCAUUAAGUUCCCCGCCU